rnacentral:misc_RNA from 1 species
UCGAGUACGGAGGAGCAAAAAAUGGCACAGGUGCAACCGCAGUUUUAAUCAUUACACCGUAGCAGUUAGUUGCGAAGAUUAUGGAUUCGCAAAUUCUAGAGCCAAUAGUGUCCACCUCAAGUGGCAAGGUGAGAGGUCAACUUCGUGAAGGUAUCUACGGUGACACCUAUUACAGUUUCGAUGGCAUACCUUAUGCGAAGCCACCACUUGGUAAAUUACGCUUCAAAUCACCACAGCCGGUCGAGGCUUGGCUUGGCGUACGCGACUGUACCAUAUGUCCGCCGAUGUGUAUCCAAUCGAAUUAUUAUACCGGCGUGAUAGACGGCAUUGAGGAUUGCCUGUAUUUAAAUGUAUUUACGAAGAAGCUACGUUCUGCAAAGCCCUUACCGGUGUUGGCUUAUUUGCUUGGUGGACGUUUUGCAAUUGGAGAUGCCUCGCGUAACAGUUGGGGUCCGGAUUAUUUAAUGAUGAAAGAUGUAGUAUAUAUAACAAUUGGAUUUCGGUUAGGUGCUUUAGGCUUCCUCAGUUUUCCGGAACCCGAACUUCAAGUGCCCGGUAAUGCGGGCCUCAAGGAUAUCGUCAUGGCACUACAGUGGAUAAAGAAAAAUUGUCAGUACUUCAACGGCGAUCCCGAUAAUAUAACACUAUUCGGACACAGCUCAGGCAGCGCGACAGCACAAAUGCUCAUGUAUGUGCCGCAAUGUGAAAAUCUCUUCCACAAAGUCAUACUAAUCUCCGGCAUGCAAAUGCACUUGCGCCGCAUUCCCCAACUAGAAUAUCGCUUCGCCAAGCACUUGGGAUAUAAAGGCCAAGAGAAUAACCACGACAUACUUGCCUAUCUCAGCUCAUUACCGGCAGAACGCCUUUGCGAUCUUAAAAUUUUGACGCCAGUAGAACAGAAGCAAGGCCAUCAAUCUGUAUUCUCUCCUACGCUCGAAAAUGAGCAUGCGCCAGAUGCUAUACUGACCAAGGACCUACUUGAUCUGUAUGCCAAUAAGCAAUCUUGGUGUCAUAGUAUACCGCUGGUGUUAGGAGGCAGCUCAUUUGAAGGUCUUAUGAAUUACAAAUAUUUCACCAAGGAACCUGAACUAUAUGAAACUCUCAGAAAGCAUCCUGAGUACUUGCUCCCAUACGAAGUCAGAGAGAAAUAUGAUAUGCUCACACAACAACAACUCGCUAAGAAGCUUAUCCGCCUGCAUUUAGGUGAGAAGGAAUUAGAUAUUGAGCAAUCGUUUGACCUUAUGGAUUUAACGACAGUUCGACUUUGACUCACCGUACUUCAACUUGUUUCGGAUAAACCAUUGCGGUCGUGAAGUGCGUGGUGUAUGCCAUGUAGAUGAUCUUUCCUAUAUCUUCUUUAUGCCAGACUCAUUUAAGCUAGAGCGUAGCUCGAAGGAGUUUAAGAUGAUUGAAUGCAUGAUAGAUUGGAUUACAGCCUUUGCUCUAAAUUCGGAUCCUAACUGUGAAAAACUAAGCAGUUUGGUUUGGAAACCGCUGACUGCAGAUGCUCGCUAUUGUCUUAAUAUUAGCGAUGAACUGAGCUUUAUCACAUGGCCAGAGGAAGAGAAGUGCGUCUUGUGGGAUCACUGUUUUAAAGAGACGGGUAUAAGAACCUUUUAGUAGACAUUUUACCUAUCUUUUAAUAGAACGCUACAACAGUUGACUCCUAGGGGCAGCAAAUGACGCCAUAUUUUUCCGCUUUUUUGACAUAUUUCUUCGUAGGGGUUGGCAUUUCAGCGUAGAGAGAUGUACCAUCCAAUAAAGAGGCGAAUUCGAAGAAGUGCGGCUCAAUGACGUUGAUGGGCCAACCCAAACCGUGAUUUUUUCGGGAUGUUAUGGUGACUCAUGGAUUCUACUUUCACAGGACUAAGACAUUUCAUUGAUAUCCCGAUCCGGUUUGAUUUUAUUUCAAAAAUCUUUUGCAGCGCUCUUAUUUUUGAACCUGCUACAUCCUUACACGCUAUGAACUGCUUCGUUGCUAUAAUUCUUGAAUGCGCCAACUGAAUGCGUAAUUAAAAUGUUGCACCAUCGGUGAAAAAUGUUGCACAACAUUUUUUUAUUAAUUAUCAGGCAAGUGGACGUGCCGCAUAGCCAAGCGCCGGAGCGCAUUUAAAGUGUAUAUAUAAAGUGUUAUAUUUAACUACCUGCCCUUACACAUAUUCACAACAACAAGUAUGCACGAGUCUUGUGUGUAAAAACUUCACUUGCUCACUCACCUUACGGCACGAGGUACAAGUCGUUAUCUACUAUUGGGUACGUAGCUAAGGGCGCCUCUUGCAACAAAAUAAAUAACUGCCAAAUGAAGGUAAAUAAGAACAAGUCUAUCGCAUGUAAUCGCUUCACUGCCAGCGAAAAUGCAACAAAACGAAUACAAUAUAUCAAUUAAUGGAAUGUAAAAAGUGGCCACCGAAAUGCGCGCGGUCUUUAUACUUACUGCCGCGGCUUUUAUGUAGCUCGUGAUCCAGACACAAGUGCUUGCCGGAGUGGCUGCUAUAAAUAAGUGCCGGCUCAUGUAUAAAUUUCGUGUAAAAACAUGGUGCAGUAGCCGGAGUAGGUCACAUACUUCACAUACUAUCGAGGUUACCGAGCAAAUGGAAAGUGAACUUUACUCUUAUUUUGGAUUCGUUAACGCAGUCAUGGUUUGCUUUUGUUUUCCAGCUUGCUUAAAGUGAGAAAUUUAUCUGAAGGAACAGAAAGAGAGGAAAUGGAGUUGGAGCGUAAGCAUAAUAUAAGUUUGUAUGUAUGUGUGUAUGCUCACUUUAUAGACCUAUAAAGAAGAGUAAGCAGUUUGCGACAAGCGUUGUCAUCAAUACAAUUCGCAAUCGGGUUAGCAACUUCGGAAGUAGUGGCCUAUAUUAUAUUAAUUUUUUUCUUUUUUUUUGUAUUCAAAGAUAGAUAUAUUUCAAUAUUUGAUUUGUAGAUCCCGGAUCCCCUAAAAGUUUAUAAUAUUAACUCAAAAUAAUUCUAUGAAUCUUGAAGCUGCGUAUCUCAAUUAAACAUCCUUUCCACUCCGACACAGUAUCCUCCCACAUACUGAUCCCGGUUGACUUUACAAUUCCUCAAGCCACAUAUUUCAUUUUCCGAACAAAUUCAAAAUCCAAUGAACUUAUGCAAAUUUCCAGACAGUGUACAAUAAACAAAAUAUCACGAAAGUAACAAACCAACGUCAUAAUCGACACAAUCUGCGCCCAAAUGGCCAAAAGUCAGCAAAUAAUAAGCGAAAGCUGUGAACGAAGAGACAGAGAAUUGUCAAAUAACAAACAAAUGCCUAUGUAUAUUCAUAUUUGAUGCUUUUACUCAGCGGCAGCGCAUUUUUAUUGCCACUGUAUUAACCGACGUCUAUGAGCGCUUUUCGUCCUUGCAAUGGGUCACUGAUAUCCACUGAUUGUGGACGGAGCAAGGGCGCGUGAGGACGCAUAUGAACGAUUGUGUAUAAAUUGAAAUUCGCAGCAGGCUUAUUAUUGUGCGCGGUAUUUUUUGUUUUUGUCGACCACAAAUCUUUGCUGUCUGCUGUCCGCAUUAAAAUUGUGGACGUUUGUCUAUUUGUGUGCCAAUGAAAAGUUGAUUCAACUCUUUGUUAAAUUUUUGAUUGGUUGGCUUAUGGCGGCAGCUAUUAUGUGUAUGAAUGUUGUAAGUAUAAGCUAAUGCGUGUAGUGGUCAGUUGGC